CCUACGGGGGGCAGCAGUAGGGAAUCUUCGGCAAUGGACGAAAGUCUGACCGAGCAACGCCGCGUGAGUGAAGAAGGUUUUCGGAUCGUAAAACUCUGUUGUUAGAGAAGAACAAGGACGUUAGUAACUGAACGUCCCCUGACGGUAUCUAACCAGAAAGCCACGGCUAACUACGUGCCAGCAGCCGCGGUAAUACGUAGGUGGCAAGCGUUGUCCGGAUUUAUUGGGCGUAAAGCGAGCGCAGGCGGUUUCUUAAGUCUGAUGUGAAAGCCCCCGGCUCAACCGGGGAGGGUCAUUGGAAACUGGGAGACUUGAGUGCAGAAGAGGAGAGUGGAAUUCCAUGUGUAGCGGUGAAAUGCGUAGAUAUAUGGAGGAACACCAGUGGCGAAGGCGGCUCUCUGGUCUGUAACUGACGCUGAGGCUCGAAAGCGUGGGGAGCAAACAGGAUUAGAUACCCGGGUAGU
rnacentral:rRNA from 1 species